GCAAGUCGAACGGUAAGUUAAAUGCUUGCAUUUAACACGAGUGGCGCACGGGUGCGUAACGCGUAUGCAACCUACCCUUUACUGGGGGAUAGCCCGGAGAAAUUCGGAUUAAUACCCCAUAGCAUUAUCAGAUGGCAUCUGAAGAUAAUUAAAGAUUUAUUGGUAAAGGAUGGGCAUGCGUGACAUUAGUUAGUUGGUGAGGUAACGGCUCACCAAGACAAUGAUGUCUAGGGGUUCUGAGAGGAUGAUC
rnacentral:rRNA from 1 species